UACAGGGGGUGCAAGCGUUGCUCGGAAUUAUUGGGCGUAAAGCGCGCGUAGGCGGCUACCUAAGUCGGAUGUGAAAGCCCCUGGCUCAACUGGGGAAGUGCACCCGAAACUGAGUAGCUAGAGUGCAAAAGAGGGUCGCGGAAUUCCCGGUGUAGAGGUGAAAUUCGUAGAUAUCGGGAGGAACACCGGUGGCGAAGGCGGCGACCUGGGUUGACACUGACGCUGAGGCGCGAAAGCGUGGGGAGCAAACAGG
rnacentral:rRNA from 1 species